rnacentral:rRNA from 1 species
CCUACGGGCGGCUGCAGUGGGGAAUAUUGGACAAUGGGGGCAACCCUGAUCCAGCCAUGCCGCGUGUGUGAAGAAGGCCCUCGGGUUGUAAAGCACUUUCAGUGAGGAAGAACGCCUGGUGGUUAAUACCCAUCAGGAAAGACAUCACUCACAGAAGAAGCACCGGCUAACUCCGUGCCAGCAGCCGCGGUAAUACGGAGGGUGCGAGCGUUAAUCGGAAUUACUGGGCGUAAAGCGCGCGUAGGUGGCUUGAUAAGCCGGUUGUGAAAGCCCCGGGCUCAACCUGGGAACGGCAUCCGGAACUGUCAAGCUAGAGUGCAGGAGAGGACGGUAGAAUUCCCGGUGUAGCGGUGAAAUGCGUAGAGAUCGGGAGGAAUACCAGUGGCGAAGGCGGCCUUCUGGACUGACACUGACACUGAGGUGCGAAAGCGUGGGUAGCAAACAGGAUUAGAUACCCUUGUAGUC